rnacentral:rRNA from 1 species
AACCUCCGCAAUGUGAGAAAUCGCGACGGGGGGAUCCCAAGUGCCAUUCUUAACGGGAUGGCUUUUCAUUAGUGUAAAGAGCUUUUGGAAUAAGAGCUGGGCAAGACCGGUGCCAGCCGCCGCGGUAACACCGGCAGCUCUAGUGGUAACAAUUUUUAUUGGGCCUAAAGCGUCCGUAGCCGGUUUAAUAAGUCUCUGGUGAAAUCCUGUAGCUUAACUGUGGGAAUUGCUGGAGAUACUAUUAGACUUGAGACCGGGAGAGGUUAGAGGUACUCCCAGGGUAGAGGUGAAAUUCUGUAAUCCUGGGAGGACCGCCUGUUGCGAAGGCGUCUAACUGGAACGGUUCUGACGGUGAGGGACGAAAGUUAGGGGCGCGAACCGGAUUAGAUACCCGGGUAGUCCUAACUGUAACGAUGCGGACUUGGUGUUGGGGUGGCUUUGAGCUGCUUCAGUGCCGAAGGGAAGCUGUAAGUCCGCCGCCUGGGAAGUACGGUCGCAAGACUGAAACUUAAAGGAAGU